rnacentral:rRNA from 1 species
UACGAAGGGGGCUAGCGUUGCUCGGAAUCACUGGGCGUAAAGGGCGCGUAGGCGGCCGAUCAAGUCGGGGGUGAAAGCCUGUGGCUCAACCACAGAAUUGCCUUCGAUACUGUUUGGCUUGAGACCGGAAGAGGUAAGUGGAACUGCGAGUGUAGAGGUGAAAUUCGUAGAUAUUCGCAAGAACACCAGUGGCGAAGGCGGCUUACUGGUCCGGUUCUGACGCUGAGGCGCGAAAGCGUGGGGAGCAAACAGGG